rnacentral:rRNA from 1 species
UUUUAUUAAUUUAUUAAUAAUAAUAUCUGCUCAAUGAAAUAUUAAAUAGCCGCAAGUUCUGUGCUAAGGUAGCAUAAUAAUUCGUUUUUUAAUUGAAAACUAGAACAAAAGAUUUAACAAUUAAUUUUAAUAUAAAAUUUAUUUAAGAAAAUUUUUUUAAAUGUAAAAAAUCAUUUAUUUAAACGAUAGACGACAAGACCCUAUUGAACUUUACUAAAGUUAAACUGGGGAAGUUAAUUAAUUAAAACUUUAAUUUUCAAAAAAAAUAGAACUAAUAUAAUUAAUUAUUUAAGCAAGUUACCAUAGGGAUAACAGCGCAAUCAUUAUUUAAAGUUCUUAUUAAAAUAAUAGAUUACGACCUCGAUGUUGAUUAAUUUACUAUAUGAUGCAAUAACCAUAUUAGAAAGUCUGUUCGACUUUUAAAAUAUUACA